CAACAACUGGCAAAUAAUUUUUUCUGCCCAUUUUAGAGGUGAGGAGACUGGGGUUCAAAGAGGUUUAAUGACUUGCCUAAGAUCACACAGCUAGUCAGUGAAUUCAAACCUAAAUCACAAGACUGCAGAGCUCUUUCCACUCAGAGGCAUGGAUUUUUACCAUCUCUGAGAGGCUUCCUGAGAGGUGCUGGCUGCCUCACCUGGGGGAGGAGGAAGAAGAAAAAGCAGCCCCAGGCAGCCAACGAGAACAUAUCCUGCCAUGAAUAAAGUAUGUGAGUCUGUUUCCAAAGCUGGGGAAUCUUGGGGAUACCUCCUUACUGCCUAGGGGGCAGCCCCUGUGGGAACAUCUGCUUUAGGGCUGAAGGUAGGGCAUGGAGUGCUGGUGGCCUGUCAUCAGAGUGUGUGUGUACGUGUGUGUGCAUGUGUGCACGUACGAGAAUAAAGAGGGCAGCCUAUGCCCAGGCUGGGCCACUGUUUUUCCUUUGGCUCCUGAGAGAGAAUGUCUUCUUGUUUAACUAUUGCUCUGAAUUACUCCCCUCCCCCCAUGCACAGUUUGCAAAACAGAAAACUCCCUCCAUUCGAUAGUGUCAGUGUCUCAGCAUUGGGACUAUACAACCAAAUAUCUAAAAUCCCACCAUUCAGUGACCCUGAAGGACAUCUCAGUUACCACUGUUUUUAGAGAACAGGUGGAACUAGAUUUUUUCCAACCUGAAAAGACACUGUUGGGCCCUAACAAUAAAAUGCUUUGGAAUAUUUCAAAGCUAAGACUUUGUGUAACUUCUUAGAGGAAGUGAAUGACUGUUUCUUACCCAGUUCAGAGCUUCUCCCAGUGAUCUUGGCAUGGUGGGAGGAUAAUAUUUAUUCACGUCAAAGUGUUCACAUCUCUUCCUUCUGUAGCAUCCUUACAUUUUGCUUGCUUAGAUCCUCUCCCUGCUUCAUUCCUCUUCCCUCUAAGGAUACUUUGCUUUUGUCAGUUUCAUUCCUGGCAGUGAGUCCACACAGACAAGGGGCAAUGGAGAGUAAUAAAGUUGGACCUAGAGACAAAGUUAACAAAAAAAAAUCAGAACAAAGACUUACAGAAGUGCAAGAAAACAUAUUGAAAGUAAAGUGGAAGAAAGAAAAGAGUCAACACAUUAUCAGGGAGAAAUCUAGGUUGAAAGUUAAAUUGUACUUAAUGUCUUGGACAGACUGAGCCACAUGGAGUCACAAAUAUAUUAGGGUUUCAGCACAUGCAGUUAAUCUUAUGGUUGACCUUGAACUGAAAACUGGUGAAAGCAGCCAAGAGAAGCUAGUGUGAUUAUUGAAGACUUCCUCAGAAGAUGGGGUUUGGGCUGAAUCUUGGUAGGAAAGAUUUCCUUAAGCAGAGAUAGUUGGAUGGGCCUGGGGAAGAAGGGCCCCUAAAACUAGGGGGCCAGGGUGAGCACCACAGACGAACAAACCAGAAUAAAAGAACCUAUGACCCAACAUGUGUGCUAAACUGAUACACACAACUGUGCACACCAGUGAGAACCCAAGCAUGACCUCGUAUAGGCCUAUAAUUUGAAUGAGUGAAAGUAAGGUCCUGUCUGAGAUCACACAGCUGGUUGGUGCCUGGCUCCCAUUUUCAGUUUCUUUCCAUUUUAAUACUGUUUUUCUUCUUUUAGACAAAAAGCCACAGAGUGGAUGACUUUCAGCUCUAAUAACCUCAAAGAUCAACUGGAUUGAAGAUCUGAUGUUCAAGUCAUUGGCAGAGAAAGCCCAAAAGAUUACAUGGAAAAGAAGGCAGGUUGGUCUUAAAGAGCCAGGAAAAUUUGGCGCAGAGAUUGAUGGAAAGAAUGACAGCCCUCCCUGAGGCCAAGUUGCAGA
ensembl:lncRNA